CGCAUGCAAGAGGGUUUAAAAAAAAGAAUUUAAAUUUAUUUUAGAAUUAAAAAAGAUAAUGGGUAGUUGUGUUCCAUAAAAAUAGGAUCCAUUAUUUGAUUUUUCUUUUCAUUUUAAUUUUUUUCAUAUGAAAAAGUGUGAAUUUACCAUAUUAUCCUCAUUUAAUUAACAAUUCCAAUUCUUAAUGUAUGCAUUAACCAAGGGCAUUUUUUGAUAUUUUGAAUGUUUCAUCAUUCGCUGCCUUUUGCUUUAUAUAUAUGAUUAAAAAAAUUAAAAUUAAAAAUAAAAUCAGAUAAUAAGUCCUACUUUUAUAGAACAUAAUUACCCAUGUUAUCUUUUCCUAAUACUUAAAAUAAAAAAUAAAAUAAUAAACCAAUUGGCAAAUGCGUGAGCGUGUGCCAAGAGGCUAAUAUAUAUAGAUGAAAUAAAAAUUAUAAAUACACACAAAAAAAAUGUACGUAUUUACAAUACUUACGACUUGUUACAUUGGUUUUAAUUUUACUGGUACUAACUGCUUGAGUGUUGAGAGCCCGGUAUAUCCUUGCCUACUGAAAGUUGUCAUAAGGAUGAUGUUGAUGAAUCAUUCAAAUUGCAGCAACGUAGUGUUGGCCUGGUUGUAACAUGAAUUGAGUUUAUAUUAAUGAAAUAUUGUGUUCUCUUCUGAAAAAAUCAAUUGCCAAUAGAUGUAGUCUCAACACCUG
rnacentral:lncRNA from 1 species